UACGUAGGGGGCUAGCGUUGUCCGGAAUCAUUGGGCGUAAAGCGCGUGUAGGCGGCCCGGUAAGUCCGCUGUGAAAGUCGGGGGCUCAACCCUUGAAAGCCGGUGGAUACUGUCGGGCUCGAGUACGGAAGAGGCGAGUGGAAUUCCUGGUGUAGCGGUGAAAUGCGCAGAUAUCAGGAGGAACACCAAUUGCGAAGGCAGCUCGCUGGGACGUUACUGACGCUGAGACGCGAAAGCGUGGGGAGCAAACAGG
rnacentral:rRNA from 1 species